CCCCGGCUCCAGGGUCGCGCCGAAAAUGCGGCUACCCCCAGUGGCUGUUGUUUUGGACUACGUUUCCCAUCAGCCCUUUCUCAACAUCGCGAGAGUCCCAGCGAGACCGCCGAGAAGACUUGCGCGCAGGCGCGGCCCCGCCCUCUCCCCGAGGCCGGCCGCAUGGCUGGAAGUCAUGGCUCCUUCUGUCCGGGCCCAGUUCGGCGAGCAGCCUCGGGCCUCAGGCCUUUCGCAAGGGCCUGCCAGUAGCAUCUGCGGAGACAGAAGCGGACCUGCAGGUUGAAGCUUAAAAGGACUGGAAUGAAUGGAGCCCCGAAAUGAUAGAAUGAGACCUAUGUUACCCUAUUUCUCCUUCGGGCUAAAGGUGCUGGCUGUGGGCUUUGAGAAAAGUCACGUGAGAACCGUCAUCUUCAGAUGUUGAGUGUAAGGAUCUUCGUGAUGGAGAUUUCUGUAAACGGGGCGGUCCAGCCUUGGUUUCGGACCCGCGACGGACCCUCCAGGAGAAGCCUCUACGCGGCAAUGCCUGCGGUGUGAGGCACAGAACUGAGCUGCUUUGCCCGAAGCAAGUGAAACGGUUCCUCCCGUUGUGACCUCCCAGUUGUGCCGGCCGGAUCCCUGCAGCCUCUGUUGCUAAUGUUAAUGCCUGUAAAGUGUUUCUCCCAGAGGAGAAUCCUUUCAGAGCUCUGUGGACUUCAUCUUCAAAAAUAGCCAG